UCAAAUUUGCCAACACAUAGGAAUGUGAAUCAAGGUGUACAUGUAGCAUGGCUCCAAGAAAUAAAUUUAGCAACAACUAGGUCAAGAAAGGGAAAAACAACCUGCUUCUUUGAUGCGUGGAAAGGUUUUCCUUACUGUGGAAUGUUGAACCUUAACAGUUUCAUCAAAACUACAAGUUUCAGGCUUCCUAUUUUUAGAUUCCCUAGACUUGAGAUGUUGCAUUGAUGGUCGGUGUUGCACAACUGAAUUAGCAGGAUUGAGGUGCAACUGCAUGAAACAAGACGGUAUUGUGAAUGCUUAAAAUCAGUCAAACUUUGAAAAGAAACCAUAAGCAGGGAAUAUUGUUGUACAAAUAGAAUUAGUAAUGGAAAUGAAGUGAGUACUCAGAGAUUAUAGAACUUGCCUUAUUUUCUCAUCGAACCUCAACAAUAUACCCAAUUGUGCGAGGUGGUUUCCAUGAUGAAGCAAGAGUCUACCAAGAGAUUAGAAACAAAAAAAGAUUACGCAUAUUUUUC
rnacentral:lncRNA from 1 species